AGUCCUCCGGGAAAUCUGAUAGCUCAACUAUUAGGCUUUCGGGGGAUACUGCCAGACUUGGAACCGGGAGAGGUAGAGGUACUACAGGGGUAGGAGUGAAAUCUUGUAAUCCCUGUGGGACCACCUGUGGCGAAGGCGUCUUACCAGAACGGGUUCGACGGUGAGGGACGAAAGCUGGGGGGCACGAACCGGAUUAGAUACCCGGGUAGUCCCAGCCGUAAACGAUGCUCGCUAGGUGUCAGGCAUGGCGCGACCGUGUCUGGUGCCGCAGGGAAGCCGUGAAGCGAGCCACCUGGGAAGUACGGCCGCAAGGCUGAAACUUAAAGGAAUUGGCGGGGGAGCACAACAACGGGUGGAGCCCUGCGGUUUAAUUGGACUCAACGCCGGACAACUCACCGGGGGCGACAGCAAUAUGUAGGCCAAGCUGAAGACUUUGCCUGAAUCGCUGAGGAGUGGUGCAUGG
rnacentral:rRNA from 1 species